rnacentral:rRNA from 1 species
GACGGGGGGGGCAAGCGUUGUUCGGAAUUAUUGGGCGUAAAGGGCUCGUAGGCGGUUUGUUGCGUCAGGAGUGAAAACUGGAGGCUCAACCUCCAGCCUGCAGUGGGUACGGGGCAGACUAGAGUGCGGUAGGGGAGAUUGGAAUUCCUGGUGUAGCGGUGGAAUGCGCAGAUAUCAGGAGGAACACCGAUGGCGAAGGCAGAUCUCUGGGCCGUAACUGACGCUGAGGAGCGAAAGCAUGGGGGAGCGAACAGG